rnacentral:rRNA from 1 species
UACAGAGGGGGCAAGCGUUGUUCGGAAUUACUGGGCGUAAAGGGCGCGUAGGCGGCCGCCUAAGUCAGACGUGAAAUCCCUCGGCUCAACCGAGGAACUGCAUCCGAUACUGGCGGGCUUGAAUCCGGGAGAGGUAUGUGGAAUUCCAGGUGUAGCGGUGAAAUGCGUAGAUAUCUGGAGGAACACCGGUGGCGAAGGCGGCAUCCUGGACCGGUAUUGACGCUGAGGCGCGAAAGCUAGGGGAGCAAACGGG